rnacentral:rRNA from 1 species
GGGUCAGUAGGUUGGUCGUGCCACCGGUACGUACUGGUCUCACUGAUUCCUCCUUCCUGAAGAACCGUAAUGCCAUUAAUUUGGUGUUGCGGGGAAACAGGACUGUUACUUUGAAAAAAUUAGAGUGUUUAAAGCAAGCUAACGCUUGAAUAAAUCAGCAUGGAAUAAUGAAAUAGGACGAUCGAUCCUAUUUUGUUGGUUUCUAGGAUUGACGUA